CACUGGGGUGGGUUUUCGGGUUUUCAAUUUGUUUGCUUCCUUUUCGAGUGUGUGUGCUGGGUUUUUCGAUCGUCGGAAAACUUGUAGUUUCCCUCCUGUCGAAGGAGAGGGGGGAUGUAACGUUGUAAUUAUUCUAAGUUAGUCAGUACGAAUUUCCCUUGUUACGGCACUGGCGGGGGAGAAUGCGAUGUAACCUUCAAUUGUUAGUUUUGACGAUUGUGGGUUUCGGGAUUGGUACCUGCGCGAUUGGCGGGGCGAGGAAAAUUCGUGCGUGACUUACUUUCUUUUCGUUGCUCGUUUUGGGAAGACGCAAAAGUGUCGGUUGAAUAUUAGUUCGCUGGUGUAAUGUCGUAAAAGAUUGGUUUCCGUCAUCUAUUGAAGUAUUACCUUUCACGGAAUCAUCUUAUUAAACUAUGGAUUGAUAGUUUUUUUUUGGUUAAUCAAUAUCGUAGUGAACUCUUUUGAGAGGCUUUUAAACGAAUUACCAGCGAAACUAUUGACCGUAUCUUCCUGAUCGUUAUUAAUUAUCAUACAACGUCAAUCUUUCCAAUAGACCUUCUUUAAUAAGAGGGUCCUUGUAUCCCGUGUAAAUUUGCACAUUAACAUAUGUCACCGGAGGGACGUCCAUUUUGAAUUAUUACCAACAGAUGCCUUCAUCUGAAUACACAUUCAGCAGUAAUCAGCCGUUUGGAACCAUGAGAUAGAAUACAUGACCUAUAUCUGAGCUUAUCACCGUCGACACAAUUACUUAGCCUAUAUCAAUUAUCUGACCAGUUUUGGGGAAAUUUUCACUAUUUUAAAUUUAAUUGUAAUCGUAAUUCUGGUUAACGAUCUUUCGAUUAAUGCCUACAUAAUUGGCUCUGAUUAUUGUUUUUGCAUUUGAGAUCUCCUUCGGAGACAUGAUUUAAUAUUGGUUUGUCCUAUUACGAUCGUGGGAAGUACCGCAAGUGGUAAGCCCUCAGGCACCGUUAAGUACCUCACUGUAGCAUUUUUGAUUCACCGAGGCAUUCUCGGUUAAUUUGUCCUUUUAUUCUUUAUUAUAGCUACUAGGUUGAACAUUCCUGGGAUGAGCUCACUCCACGAAUGCCUUCGGAACUCCAGGUAAGAAUAAUACCUUCUCUUUAUAUACUUGUGUGUUCGCCACCUCGUUUUGGGGUUAAAGUUUUUGGGGGAAUUCAAUUUAGGGGAAGAGAUUAGUAAAUGUAUAUUAUUUUUAGUAGUGCAUAUUCAUGCGUUAAGAUUUUUUCUUGAAUUUGGUGUACCUUACUGAAUAAAUUUUUGAUUUUUGGGUGGUCAGGUA